CACUUAACUGCUACCGCUUCCAAACUCUGUCUUUGUGAGAGAAUUCUGUGUUUGGAGUGCAAAUAGAAACCGCUUCCCUUUCCUUACCUUUCUUACUUUCUUGCUGUUGUGAACAUGGCUGCUGAACUUGUUGGAGGAGCUUUUCUCUCUUCAUUUCUCAAUGUUCUUUUUGACAGGCUGUCUGAUCCUGAGAUCAUCAACAUGAUGCGAGGAAAGAAGGUUGACCAGAAGCUGCUUCAAAGGCUGGAGAACAUUCUGAAUGUGGUUGAAGCUGUGCUGAAUGAUGCUGAGAAGAAACAGAUCACUGACCCUGCUGUCAAGAGGUGGCUCGAAGAUCUCCAAGAUGCUGUCUAUGAUGCUGAUGACUUGUUGGAUGAAGUCGCUACCAAAGCUGCCACUCAGAAGGAUCCACCAGGUAACUUCCUGUCUCGCUUUCUCAGUUUGCAAGAUAGGGAGAUGGUUACUAGGAUUGAAGAAAUCAUUGCUAGACUAGAAGAUAUUGCAAAACACAAAGAUAUCCUUCGUCUAGAAAAGAUUGCAGUCAAGAACAUGUCAGGGAGAAUUGAAUCAACAUCUCUUGUUCAAAAGUCUGAUUUAUUUGUUGGUAGGGACCAAGACAGGGAGGAUAUAGUCAAAUUGUUGUUAGAUGAUACUAAUGAUGGUGAACUAUCUGUCAUCCCCAUCUGGGGUAUGGGUGGGAUCGGAAAAACUACUUUGGCUAAGUUGGUUUUUAAUGACGAUAGAGUGCAGCGAAAAUUUAAUAUCAAUGCAUGGGUUUGUGUUGGGGAAGAAUUUGAUGUUCUUAAAGUGACAAAGACUGUAAUAGAGGAAAUAACUUCUAGUCCCUGUGAUAUGAAUAGCUUAAACUCAGCUCAACAACAUUUAAGGAGUAAGCUAACAGGGAUGAAAUUCUUGGUUGUUUUGGAUGACUUGUGGAGUAACAAUUACACAGCUUGGGCAAAUUUUUUGAUUCCUUUUAGAUGUGGAAGUGAGGGGAGUAAGAUCCUUGUGACAACUCGUAGCGAAAAGAUUGCAAACAUGGUGAAAGGUUUUCAUUAUCAAGCCUACAAUUUGAGUGCGUUGAAUGAUGAAGAUUGUUGGGUAGUGUUUGCAAAUCAUGCAUUUCUUUCUGGAGAGCGUCUAGCUUUUGAAAAAGUUGCCAGAGAAAUUGUUAAAAAGUGCAAGGGAUUACCUCUAGCUGCUCAAGCACUUGGGAGCUUAUUAAGGUCCAAAGAUAAUGAAAAGGAUUGGAAUAAUGUUUUGAACAGUGAAAUUUGGGAAUUUUCUGAAGAGGAAAUUGAAAUUAUUCCUGCGCUGAGGAUUAGUUAUUACCACCUUCCUUCGCACUUAAAACGUUGUUUUGUUUAUUGUUCUUUGUAUCCCAAAGACUAUGAAUUUGAUAGAGAUGAAUUGGUGUUAUUGUGGAUGGCCGAGGGUCUUUUGCAACGGCCGAGGGGGAGAAGCACUUUAGAAGAAGUUGGCUAUGAAUAUUUUAGUGAUUUAGCAUCAAGAUCAUUUUUUCAACCUUCUAAUAAUGCUUAUAAUACUGCAUUUGUAAUGCACGAUCUCAUGCAUGAUUUAGCAACGUUCUAUGGUGGAAAGUUCUUUUCUAGAACCUUUGAAGUCAAGAAUGCAGCAAAGCAUGAUGUCAAAACUCGCCACUUGUCAUGUGCUCGCAAGAAUGAUGAUGAUUCGUUUAUGAAGAUCAUGGAAGCAUGCAAAAGGUUAAAACAUGUGAGGACAUUGUUGCAACUCAAUUUUCGUAAGGAUGGUGGAAUCCCAGAGGGAGAUAGUGUAGCCGUUCCUUCUGACUUACUAGAACAAUUGAAGUGCUUACGAGUUUUGUCAUUUAAAUUUUUUCCAGAUGAUGAAAACUUGUUGCAUCAUUCGAUUGGGGAAUUGAUCCAUUUGCGUUAUUUGGAUCUUUCAGACACAUCCAUCGUGACUUUGCCUGAGUCGUUAAGUUGCUUGUACAAUUUACAAACCUUGAAGUUGACAUACUGUAAAAAGCUUAAAAAGCUUCCUAGCAAGAUGCAAAAUCUUGUGAAUUUGCGUCAUCUUGAUGUUUCUGAAACUGGUUUGGAAGAGAUGCCAAAAAAGAUGAGCGAAUUAAAAGAUUUGCAAUUUUUAAGUUCUUACAUCGUGGGCAAGCAUGAAGAGAAUGGAGUUGGGGAAUUGGGAGAACUAGCACAUCUUCAUGGGUCAUUGUGGAUUGAGAAAUUGGAGAAUGUUAAGAAUAGUGGUGAAGCAUCGAAUGCAAGGAUGGAUGAAAAAAUACACCUGAAUACUUUAUAUUUGUGGUGGUCAACGUUUGAAGAAAGUGAGGUUUGUGAUUCCCAAAGUGAAAAAGAUGUACUUGACAAAUUACGUCCUCACAAAGACUUGAAGAAGCUAUCCAUCAGUUAUUACAGAGGUACGAUGUUUCCGGAUUGGGUAGGGCAGUCUUCGUACCACAACAUGACUUGGUUGGAGCUGAGGGGAUGCAGGAAUUGUUGGGUGCUUCCUUCACUUGGACAGUUACCCUCUCUGAAGAGGCUGCUCAUUUCAGGGCUCGACAAGCUGAAGAAGAUUGGUGGGUCAUUCUAUAAGGGUGAUGGAACUCAUCAGCAUCAGGAGACACCCUUCCGAUCCCUUAAAUUUUUCAUUAUUCAAAGAAUGCCUUGGUGGGAGGAAUGGGAGUCAUAUGAAUGUGAUGAUGAUAAGGAUGCACCAUUUCCUCAACUUGACGAACUUCAUAUAUUGCAGUGUCCUAAGUUAAGAGGAGAUUUGCCCACUUUCCUUCCGUCUUUGAAAUCACUAUUCAUUUAUGAAUGCAAGGAGCUUGGUUGUUAUCUGCCAAGAGCUCCCAUCCUACGCAAAUUAAUAAUAAGGGACAAACAGGAAGCAAGAAUGCGGGAGCUACCACUUUCCAUGUUGGAGACACUAGUAAUUAAUGGAGAGCAGCUUGUGGAUUCUCUGUUUGAGGCCAUGACCCACACCCAACCAACCUCUCUCAUAGAGCUAGACAUCUCAGAGUGCUCAUCAGCCAUAUCAUUUCCAGAGGAUUCUUUGCCCCCUUCAUUGGAAUAUCUAGGCAUCUUCAAUUGCAAGAAUGUAGAAUUCCCAAUGCACCACCAACAACAUCACUCGCUACAGAGAUUAGAAUUUGUCAACAGCUGUGAUUCGCUUACAUCCUUCGCAUUGCCAGCGUUCCCAAAUCUCAAGUAUCUCAGAAUCGCAAGACGUGAAAAGUUGACAUCGCUGGAGGUGUCACAGUCCCUCCGAGAAUUAUCAAUUUCAGACUGCCCUAAGCUGGAGAACAUAAUAAGGCUGCCUGCCUGUUUAUGGGAACUCAAAAUCAGAGAAUGUGGGUUGUUGGGUGAAGGCAUAGAGAGGAAGGACCCCCACAUUUGGCCAUCCAUUUCCCACAUCCCCGUAAUAUUUGUUGAUGAGAAACUGAUUCAAUAUCACCCAACAUCUUAAAACAGGACAUUUAACUAUUCUUCUGGGACUUAUCAAUUUAAUGCAGUUUGGUUGUGCACCUCCAUUCUUCUACUUUUGCACCAUGCCUUGUCUUGCACCCAAAUGUAAGGCCUUUCGUUACCUUUCUUGGUGUUGCUCCUGCUUGCUUGCCUGUGCCCUUUGUUGGAUUUGCAACAAACAAAUUGAAGCGAAGUUGGAGUAAGCUCAAUUUGGAGAGCAGGGGAACCUGGUCAAGAAUGAUUUCAUGAGGUGUGGUCUCUGCAUCAAUAAGAAAGCUGAAUUCAUGGAAAACACCAUCCUCAUAGAAAAUCAAAAGAAGAAGUAGAUGAUGUAGAACAGAAUUUCGCUAAGACCGAUAGAUCAAUCAAAAUGCAACAAGAGCACCUUCAAUGAUAAGGAUACAGUUGGAGCAGCCUGUCAAAAAUAGGCAUAAAGUGUACAUACUUUGCAAUGUUCAAAGAAAAAAGGAAGGAAAAACUUAAUUAUAUAUUUUGACUGACAUUGUCCAAUUAUCUUUUUCUCUUUAAGAGUUUUCAUGUCUUCAUCAUUUCAUUCUAUUUUAGGAUAGCUGAUAUGAAUUAUUCUAUUUAUAAGAAAGAGAGAGCUUAAAAAGUGAGUAUCAAUUUCUGUCAUGAGAAAGGCAAGAGAGCUAGGAUGUGAGAAUAUGUAGAAAAAGCUAUAAGUGGUGUUUGAGAAAUUUGUUUUUGUAUUUGGCUUGAAUUGAUAUUUGUAACUUGAAUUUGUUUAUAGUGGAAAAUUCUACCAUUUUUUGUGGUG